AGNCCNGUGGAUUUGCUAUACNNCAGGCCUAACACAUGCAAGUCGAGCGGGCGAGGUUGCUUCGGUAACUGAGCUAGCGGCGGACGGGUGAGUAAUGCUUAGGAAUCUGCCUAUUAGUGGGGGACAACAUUCCGAAAGGAAUGCUAAUACCGCAUACGCCCUACGGGGGAAAGCAGGGGAUCUUCGGACCUUGCGCUAAUAGAUGAGCCUAAGUCAGAUUAGCUAGUUGGUGGGGUAAAGGCCUACCAAGGCGACGAUCUGUAGCGGGUCUGAGAGGAUGAUCCGCCGCACUGGGACUGAGACACGGCCCAGACUCCUACGGGAGGCAGCAGUGGGGAAUAUUGGACAAUGGGCGCAAGCCUGAUCCAGCCAUGCCGCGUGUGUGAAGAAGGCCUUUUGGUUGUAAAGCACUUUAAGCGAGGAGGAGGCUACUUGGAUUAAUACUCUAGGAUAGUGGACGUUACUCGCAGAAUAAGCACCGGCUAACCCUGUGCCAGCAGCCGCGGUAAUACAGAGGGUGCGAGCGUUAAUCGGAUUUACUGGGCGUAAGGCGUGCGUAGGCGGCUUUUUAAGUCGGAUGUGAAAUCCCUGAGCUUAACUUAGGAAUUGCACUCGAUACUGGGAAGCUAGAGUAUGGGAGAGGAUGGUAGAAUUCCAGGUGUAGCGGUGAAAUGCGUAGAGAUCUGGAGGAAUACCGAUGGCGAAGGCAGCCAUCUGGCCUAAUACUGACGCUGAGGUACGAAAGCAUGGGGAGCAAACAGGAUUAGAUACCCUGGUAGUCCAUGCCGUAAACGAUGUCUACUAGCCGUUGGGGCCUUUGAGGCUUUAGUGGCGCAGCUAACGCGAUAAGUAGACCGCCUGGGGAGUACGUCGCA
rnacentral:rRNA from 1 species